AACGAACGCUGGCGGCAGGCCUAACACAUGCAAGUCGAACGUGAAGCCACCUUUGGGUGGUGGAAAGUGGCAGACGGGUGAGUAACGCGUGGGAACGUGCCUUUCGGUUCGGAAUAACCCAGGGAAACUUGGGCUAAUACCGGAUACGCCCUCCAGGGGAAAGAUUCAUCGCCGAAAGAUCGGCCCGCGUCGGAUUAGCUAGUUGGUAGGGUAAUGGCCUACCAAGGCGACGAUCCGUAGCUGGUCUGAGAGGAUGACCAGCCACACUGGGACUGAGACACGGCCCAGACUCCUACGGGAGGCAGCAGUGGGGAAUAUUGGACAAUGGGCGAAAGCCUGAUCCAGCCAUGCCGCGUGGGUGAAGAAGGCCCUAGGGUUGUAAACCCCUUUCAGCGGGGAAGAUAAUGACGGUACCCGCAGAAGAAGCCCCGGCUAACUCCGUGCCAGCAGCCGCCGUAACAC
rnacentral:rRNA from 1 species